rnacentral:rRNA from 1 species
GUCUACGGCCAUGCCACCCUGAACAUGCCCAAUCUCGUCUGAUCUCAAAAGCUAAGCAGGGCUGGGCCUGAUUAAUACUUGGAUGGGAGACCACCUAAGAAUACCAAAUGCUGUAAGUG